rnacentral:rRNA from 1 species
AUGAUGUCGCGGACGAAGUUGCAGAACAUGGUCGGGCCAUCUGAAGGUGUAGGUAGCAUCUACAGGGAUCCAGGAGCACACCAGGCAGAAAAGUGCGGCCAAGGGAGCUCUGCAACGACGUGCUCUUCGGCCAUGGCGGUCGACGGUGCUAGAGCUCGUCGAGCGACGGCUAGAGGAAGGUAUCAAGAUGUGUCGGGGAAGGUUGUGAUUGUUGGAGAAGAAGCUCUUGAGAACGCGGAGGUUGCAAUGGACAAGCUGGUAGGUCUCUCGAAGGUCGUUGGUCACGGGCACGGCGAACGGCAACGGGAGGUCGCACUCGGGCAGUUUCAGAGGAGAGAGCCGGGGGGGAAUAGCUCGGGCGCAAGCCGGAGGUGGCUUCAGGUGAGCGCACGGGUCACGCCCUCGACCUACCAGAGGAAGAAGAUGACCAGCCGGUGGACUGGGCAGGCUGGGCCGUCUUGGGCCAAAGAGAUACAUCAGUUCAUACUUCCGAAUACCCGUGUCCACGUCGCGCAUGUGGGCUCAGCGGGGGGCACACACCUGACGCAAAAGGGACCUUUUGCACAGAGCGUGCAGUGCGGUACCUCGUGGGCCCGGUACUGUCGUACCAAGUUGGAGGCUGUCCUGCGUCUCGCACCGCUUCUCUUUUUCGAUUUGGGGCUGGAGGUCCGUCUGGAUCUGUUCAUGGCGACUCCGGCAGCGACGGCACCGGCGUUGGCCUCUGGGCCAAGGGUACCCCGCGGACCAGAUGAGAGGGCGGCUGUAGUUCGUGUGCCGGCGCUUGAAGCUGCGAUCCAAGGAUUCGCCAAUAGAGGGACUGAUGUGGUUGUCAACCCGUCGAUGGGCACAGUAUUUGACUCGCUGACAGAGGCCUAUGAAUUCUACAAUUUGUAUUCAUGGGAGGGUAAACCAAAGAGGGAGAACAGUUCAUCGUUGAGAAGCAAUUGUGCCGCCAUGAUUCGUCUACACCGGACAGAUGAUGGGGGGUGCCGUCGAUGCGCUGCGUGCAGCUGCCGCUGCGUGCAGCGCUGCACUUCCCCUCGCUCGAUCUCCUACUUCUCUCGAUCUCGGUCUGCUGCCCGACCCCAUCUCUCCCUCGCAGGCGCGACCCCCUUCUUCUCCGAAUCUCCCUCUCGGUCCCUCCCUCGCUCGAGCCCUCCAGACUCCUCCGUCCGGCCACACCACGACCAAGCUGGGUCCUGCUCCGAUGCGGUUGCGCCUCAGCGUCGCCGUCCUCCAUGGCUGCCAGCGAGCCUCUGCUCUGCUGCACCUGCCUCGACCUCCUUUGCUAGGGCAAGCAGCGCCGCCCCGUCGACCCGCCUCGUCCUCGUGUCUCUGGCGUCAUCCCCGACCCCAGCCACUGGAUCCGGCCGGAUCGAGUCGGCCCGCGUCGAGCACCUCCACCACCUUGCUCCGUCGAGCUCUGUCCUGCUGCACCUCGCCUUGGGCCACCUGCACCACCUCGGGAACCCUUGCCAGGAGUGCCGCCGCUGCUUCCACUUCGCCUGA